AUUGAACGCUGGCGGUAUGCUUAACACAUGCAAGUCGAACGGUAACGGGCUUUUCGGAGCGCCGACGAGUGGCGAACGGGUGAGUAAUACGUAGGAACUUGCCUACUAGAGAGGGAUAACUUAGGGAAACUUAAGCUAAUACCUCGUAAUAUCUAAGGAUUAAAGCAUGGGACCUUCGGGCCAUGCGCUAGUAGAUAGGCCUGCGUUGGAUUAGCUUGUUGGUGGGGUAAAGGCCUACCAAGGCGAGGAUCCAUAGCUGUUCUGAGAGGAUGAUCAGCCACACUGGGACUGAGACACGGCCCAGACUCCUACGGGAGGCAGCAGUGGGGAAUAUUGGACAAUGGGCGAAAGCCUGAUCCAGCAAUACCGCGUGUGUGAAGAAGGCCUGUGGGUUGUAAAGCACUUUCAGUUGGGAAGAUUGAUAUUAGUGUUAAUAGCAUUAAUAUUUGACGUUACUAACAGAAGAAGCACCGGCUAACUCUGUGCCAGCCGCCGCGGUAA
rnacentral:rRNA from 1 species